AACACAUGAAUAAUUUCAGAUGGACUUACAGGUUGUUCAGCUACUGAAUAAUGGGAUGAUUUUGAUAUAACAAAUGAGAAGAGAGAACACAAUCACACAACAUGAGAAUUACAUGGUUUCCCAUCAGUGUAUUGAGUAUAUCCAUAGAUGAAUACCACAACAAUCUUAGUCGCCACAAACUUGGUCAGUAAACCCACCACAAUGAGAAAUCAUCAGGUAAAGAUUUCCAGAAGGUAUGAUUUCUGUUGUUGUAUUUCAAGGUAAGCAGCUAGGGAUUAUACACAGGCACUGCACUCAUUAAGGAGCAGAUUAGGCACUACAAGUCAGGGACCACCUCACCACUCAACUACUAUAAUUGGACCUAUACUACUUAAACUAAGGCUAGAUACACUUGAGUAAUCAGGACAGCUAACAAAUUCUAAGCACAUAUGAUAAUUCUACAUUAGGCAUUCAUGAAAUCAGCAGGGAGAACUUGAAAGCAAUUCGUUGGUAGUUUUAUCCAUGAUUUAAAUGCAAACCACAUUGUCUGGACUUGAGUUCCUAAGCAAACCCUUAAAUCAAACCCUAGGGAAUCCGAGCUUAUCGCUUCUGCUUCCUACAAUACAUCACCAAUAAAGGUAGUUAGUCAUGUAGUCGACAAAUUUACAAAGAAGGGACCAUGUGACGACCUCGUAUAAAGGACUGAUUUAUGCAACACCUAGAGACUUUGGCCUACAGAAAUUCCAGAUUCUAUGGUUAACACCCUCUAAUCUAUUCACCAUAAAAAAUUUAGCUAAGACAAAUAACUGUCAGAAGUCUCGUCCUGUUUUAACAGAAAAUUAGGCAAGGGGCAAGGUUAUCCAACCUUAAAGAUAUCUGUUUAUAUACAUGGACAAAAUGCAUACAUACAACCUUGAAUCUUGGUUCUUAGAGCUUAAUGACCUUGCUUCCUUACAAUUGACAGAUGGCAGUCCCUAUUAUCAAUAUGUUCAAUCAGCUAGCCAAAUGCAACACAAUUUAUUUAACCAAAACAUAAUCUAUUCAGUAGUCACCACCCCGGUAGCUACCACCAUCUCUGCCACUAAGGAUCCCGAGUCAAUCAGACUGAACUUUGAGAAAUGGAUUGGAAUUUUGGAAAUAAAGAGGAAAACUGAACAAGCGGGUACCUAGAAAAGCAACGUAGCCAUUCAAAGCAGGUGGCGAACAUUGAAUCAUUGUUGCAAAACAUAUUCCUAUUUGAGAAUUGUUGGCACCAAGAUAACGCAACUCAAACCUUGCUGCUCUCUUCCAUGAUUUGAGACUUCCAGCUUGGUUGCUGUCCAAGUAGAAACGCCCACAUCCUGUGAAUUUACUGCAAGUCCAUCUGAAAAUCAUACGUAUUAAGAGCAAAAACAACCAUUAAUGAUGCUUCCAGCCAUAUAAAUGGAAGGAAAUAGAUUAAUGUAUCAAGCGGGUGAAGAAAUAGUAAAACAUUCACCAUUAAAACAAAAACCUAAAACACAUCAACAAUUUUGUCAGCAACACUUCAACAAGAAUCCACACCCAAAUUCAGAGUAAAAUUAGCUUCCUGAAAGGUGAUCCUUUUAAUCCCAUCCCAAACAAGUGUUCCAUAACACCGUUAUGGAUGCGAGCAGCUGAACUACUCCAAACUGUUUUCCUUCUCCACUACCAUUUGAUAUAAUUAUCCAGACUACUUUCAUUAUCGUAUAAAUAUAUACAUCUUCUUCCUAUGAGUUUCGUCCCUAAACUAGCAAUUUGUAUCUCGUGCAUAAGACUCGAGGGAAAAUGAUGUUUAGAACGUACCCCUUGUCGAGCUAACUGAUACAAAAACUUCUUCUACGAAGAGCAUGUCGUGCCCCUUGUUCUCCACGAAUCUUUCUGUUGGACUGGAAGUUGUCCCAGGGGCUGGAAAGCUGAUUUCUUUCAAUUCAUCAAUGUUCCAGCGAUUGAAAUAAUUAUGCAGGGAAAUAAUCAAACAAUAAAGGUGUCCCUAAACCCGCCCAUUGUCAAGACUAGUUAUGUCAGAUUUUUCACCAAUAAAGCAUUGAACUUAGACCUAAAUAACUAUUAGCUUCAAUAACGUUCACAAACCAACAGCAUCACAUACAGACGGACCAUAAAAGUUCUCCACAUAGUUGAAAGAUUAUAGGGUACCUUUAUGCUGGCAAUGAAUUUGCUAUGGGGACUGACACUAUUGAAUUUGCUAUGCGGCUGAUCACCAUACAACGAAUAGAAGGAUUAGCUGACGAUUUACUUUGACUAUAGCACCGGCCAGCACUUGCUGAUUCACUGUUGCAGUAUUAGCUUCAAUGUUCACAAAUUGCCAAUGAAUUUGGGUCCGUAAUUCUAUGGAAACUAAUGCCAUGUACAAAAAGAUAAUCAUACCUCACGAUUUCAUAACUAAAUCUCCUCUAGUGAAGAUUUCGAGAUCAUUGUUGUUUGUCUAGCAGGAUCCGGUCGCUGUGUUGGCGGCUGACAAGAUUCCCGAGUUUCUCACCCAAACUAGAGCGGAAAGCUACGGGUGCCGAUUUUCUUUUUCCCGUUAUUUUCUAAUAUAAAAAUAAAAUAAAAAUACGGUCAAAAUAUCACAGAAAAGUCAAUAUGUCGGGUAAUUAUCGCGAAAUAUCAUCGCACGAGACAUAUCGUCAAAUUCUCUUUCUCGGCAAUUUCUCGCGUUUCGAUUUUGGUUUGAAAAACCGAAACUUUUCGCGUUUCAACAUGCGUUUCGGCGUGUAUUUUGGUUUCCGAGGAUUUUCAGAUUAACCGAGUCGUCUGCGGCGGCGUUUCGAUUUCGUUUCCGAGAACCUGAAACGUUUCGGCGCAUAUCAGGGAGUUUCGGCUAUUAUAUCCAUUUUCCCCUUUUCUUGAUAUUUGUUUCCCCGAUUUCCAACUUCUUGUGGCUGCGCUGCUCCCAUGACUCUCCCAAUUUCGUAAGUUCCUCCACUUUUACUGUUGGCUUUUUGUUAUCUUUGUGAAUUGAUUUGUUCUCCUGUGUAUCUAUCAGUUUGGGGGACUGUUUGCCGACAUACUUCUGUUUUCGCUGAAGGAAAAAAUUGAUGGCCAGAGAAAGGAAAGAGAAUUCUGGAAUUGACAAACGAAUGAAAAGAACAGAAUAGGGGGAAGCUAAUGAGACAAAUGAAAACAAAUGUGCAUAUUAUCUCACCAAGCAAGAUUACUUUCCCUAAUCUCUUUAUUGUCAGUACAUGCUUCUGACCAUGAAUAAUCAGAACGAUUGGUUUGGAGAUGGUGAACGGGGUAUCUAACAUAACCAGUCUUUAUGUUUAUAACAGAUAAUAAGCAGCACAUAAGCAUUAUUUAGACUGAAUUCUCAGUUUAACGCUUGUGAUUGAAGAUCACAUUGAUAGCUUUAGGUUCAGCUGUGACCAGGAUCUUUGGGUUAAAAUGGAUUAAAGACUGACCAGAAAGCCAAUCAGUUUCAGUACGAUUUAAGACAGUUAAACUGAUUCCCACCAACAAAUAGCACACAAGGUUUAAAGCAUGUUACCUCCACUCGCACAGCCUUUAUAUCUCCAACACAAGAAUAUCAACGCUUCAGAAUAUCAACGCUUCCACAACGGUUUCACCACCAUCUUUGAGGCGGGAUAUGAUUUUCACUGUCUUCUAUGGAACAUAUACAGAUGUUUCCGAUGUACUGUGCAUGGGUGAUGCAGCUAAAUAUAUAUAGAGAAUUGAGUAUACAAGCAGACAAUAAACAUUGGUUACAUUGAUCUACAGUCUAAGAACCUAGGUUUUGAUUCAAAUGAUGCAGCUAUAUACAUAUAGAGAGAAUGAGUAUAUAAGCAGACUAAACAUUGGUUACAUCGAUCUACAGUCUAAGAACCUAGUUUUUUAUUCAAAGAGUGGACUCAUGCACUUGGUCAACAAAUAGAUUAAACGAAUUUGGAAAAAACCCAUAAGACAGUGUUUGAACCUGUUGGGUGCCUGGUCUGAAGAAAUUCAAUCCCUUCUAGACUCUUCAAAACUCUUAAUAGGGGUAGUAGAGUGCUCAUCAGCUUCCAUAUCGGCCAAAAACCUUUUGGAGGCUGCGUUUGGCAUCCACGAAUGGAACUUUGAAUGUGCUGAACCAUCAUCAACAGGUGGCUAACUCUUCUACACAAGCAAAGUACCCCAAGCUUCAAGAUAACUCGUCUACACAAAUUAUUAGUAGAAAGAGCUGAUUACGGAGAGCGGAAUCGUAUGUGGAGCGUGUAUAUUGAGAAACAAUCCCAGAGGACACUCACCGGAAUAGCGCCGACUGGGAGAACUACAAUCCAGAUCAUGCAAGAGACCUGACUCCAUUUUAGGGAUCUGAAUAAGAUAACGGGAGGUGGGAUGAGGAGGUUUACAAAAUGAACCUAUGUGACAAUUUAUAAUAACAAUUGCCGGGAGAAUGCCAUCAUUUUGUAUCAGAAGAGGAGAAGAAGAGCAGUAGCUGCACAUCAUCCAGAGAAGGAAAUGCAUUACCGUUGGAAGAAGAUGAUCAGAGUGACCAGUUUGCAACAGAGUGAAAGUUCAAUGAUCAUAAGUGCAAGCUGGACACUUUCCGUUUAAUGAAGCUGUGUCGUUUUACUUAAGACGUUAUGUAAUAAUUGGACCACGUGGCCAUCUUCGUUUAUUACCGUUUUAGUUUGUUACUACAGUAAAAGGUGAAAAUGCUGUAACGAUAAGAGCAAAGGAAAUGAGAAAUGAAGGAUAAGUUUUCAGCAUCCAUCUUCUUCUUCCUUCACUCUCUCUCGUUUCUCUCCAUCGACCUCUCUCACCCAUUUCUCACAUGGUAUCAAAGCGCACCUGAUGGUGGUCACUUCAGGGAACGCAACUCCGAUCAUCUUUGGAUCGGUACAGGAUGAAGAAGAUGACGAUGACAUCAACAACACAAAUCAUCAACUCCGUCGCAAUCAUGGCGGAAACUCCAACAAUCCACCUCCGUCUCUCAGUUUUGGUAACCCAUUCUAUCUCAAUCCGAACGAAAACUUAGCCCAAUCCAUCGUUAAUGUUAACCUGGACGGUGGUAACUAUCAACUCUGGAGCAGAUCCAUUAAAUUUGCACUUAAGACUAAACACAAAAUCGGAUUCAUUGAUGGUUCUAUCCAUCCACCAGAGUAUUCUGAUGACAAAUAUACUCUCUGGGAUGCAUGUAACACCAUGGUACUAUGCUGGAUUAUGAAUUCACUGCAUCCAGAAAUAAGGAGAAGCGUUAUGAACCAUGAAAAUGCUCAAGUGUUGUGGAAUGAGCUCAAAGCUCGAUUUGGACAAGCUAAUGCUUUGAGAUUAGCUAACUUGCAGGAUGAGAUUCAUGCUUGCAAGCAGGGCCAGAUGAAUGUCACUCAAUACUACACCACAAUUAAGGGACUAUGGGAAGAGUAUGGACAGUUCUCCCCAAUCGUUGCUUGCACAUGCUUACCUGGGAAUCCAAAUAUCUGCCCUGCUGUGCUAGCAUUCCAGACUAAGCAGGAUACUGAUUACUUGAUCAGGUUCCUGAGAGGCUUGAACAACGAAUAUGAUACAGUGAAAACUCAACUGCUGAUGAUGAGACCUCUUCCAACAAUCACAUCUGCAUAUGACAGUGCCCUACAACAUGAAGAGAAAUUGAGAGGAGGAGCAGUCAUUGCCAAUGAUGUGACUCAAUCCAGUGUGUUUGCUGUUAGCCAAAACUAUAAUGCUGACCAAGCUAAACAAGCUAUGGCUGUCACUGGGGAUAGGAGGCUAUUCUGCAAGUACUGCAGGAAGGACAAUCAUGUGGUUGAGGACUGCCUUAAGCUCAAAAACAAGAAAAAAAGGGAGCAGGAGCAGAAGACUGGAAGUUACUCAGGGAAUCAAAAUGCUGGUAGAUUUGCAGGCAUGGUUACUCAAGAAACUGAGUCCAGCAGUUCUGAUUCAACUACUUCCACAAUUCAUCAUGCUCCUUUCACAUCUGAAGAGCUUCACCAGCUCAGGAGUUUGUUGCAACAAGCGUCAAACCCUCAACACAAGGCAUUGGCAGUGAGCCAUGUACCUCCUCAGACUCCUCAUCAUCAUCCAGGUAUGUAUACUCUAGCUGCUAGUACUGAUUAUGACUUGCUAACUACCUGGAUCAUUGAUACUGGUGCAUCAGAUCACAUCUGUUGCAAUCUUAGGUAUUUCUUUAACUAUAAAGCUGUCGUUGGUGUCUAUGUGUUUCUCCCCAACUCCACAAAAGCCCCUGUCAGUCACAUUGGAUCAGUUACACUUCCUUUCGGACUGAUCCUUCAUGAUGUCCUGCUGGUUCCUAGUUUUGGAUUCAAUUUGGUUUCAGUCAGCAAAUUAACUCAUGACUCCUCUGUGUCAUUGCUGUUUCAAUCCCAAAAAUGUUUGAUCCAGGACCGUAUCACCAGCAGGACGAUUGGUAUAGCAACAACUGUUAAGGGUCUAUACCAACUGCCAGCUCAGGAUUUCAAUCAAGUUUCUAAAAGUGUUCCUCCUCGUGUCCUUGCUGUCAGCUACAAUUUCAAACCUCAAGCCAUUAAUCUCUGGCAUUGGAGGCUAGGCCACCCUAGUGAGGAUAGGAUUCAUUCUUUAAAAACAUGUAAUCCUCAAAUUGUUGCUGAACACAUAGCCCAUUGUGAAGUUUGCCACUUUGCCAAACAGAAACGCUUAUCCUUUCCAAUCAGUGAAACAGUUGCCUCUAAGGCUUUUGAUUUAAUUCAUAUGGACAUCUAGGGGCCUCUAUUAGUCGAGUCCUAUGAUCAUUUUUCCUUCUUUCUUACUGUGGUUGAUGAUUACUCACGAGGAACCUGAGUCUACCUAAUGAAACACAAAUCUGAAGUUCGCUCCCUCAUUGAAUCAUUUUGCAAAAUGGUUAACACUCAAUUUGAAACAAGUGUUAAAUCCAUUAGGAGUGAUCAAGGUAGGGAGUUUGCCAUGACAAAUUACUUCUUAGAACAUGGCAUAAUACAUCAAACCUCUUGUGUAGAGACCCCACAGCAGAAUGCUCGAGUUGAACGCAAACAUCAGCAUAUACUGAAUGUUGCUCGAGCUCUGCGUUUCCAAGCUGGGUUACCCCUCCAGUACUGGAGUGCCUGUGUCCUUCAUGCAGUGCAUCUAAUCAACAGAAUGCCUACCCCUAUCCUGAACAACUUAUUUCCGUUUGAGAAACUUUAUAACGUACCUCCUGCCAUAACUCACAUUCGAGUUUUUGGGUGUCUUUGCUAUGCUUCUACCUUAGCUAGCCACAGAACCAAGUUCCAACCUAGAGCUCGUCAGUGUAUCCUUCUAGGCAUUCCAGCUACUGUCAAAGGGUAUAAAGUCAUGGAUUUAAACAAUGGUCAGGUCUUUCUGUCCAGAGACGUUGUGUUUCAUGAAACCAUCUUUCCCUUCAAGGGUGUGUCAGGUUUAGCCUUACCAAACUUAAAUAAUUAUCCUCCUGAGUUCAUCCCAGAUUCUGAACUCAGGCUGCCUCAUGCAGAAUCGAGUCAGUCUGUCAAUCUAUCAAGCCCUCCUAAUCAUGAUCCAUAUGUUGGUGGUCCUAAUCUUUCGCCUGCAUCUAUGAAUAUACAAACUGAUGAUGUUGAUGUGGUGGUCUCCUCUCCCUCUGAGGGUGGUGAUGACUUGGAACACACAUCUGCGGAUGUUCCUCCAGUAGUCACUCGCCAGUCCUCGAGGGUUAGACGCCCUCCUACUUACCUGAUGGACUAUCACCUUGAUCUAACCGCUGCAAAGCAUGCUCUAGCUGCUGUUGUUUGCUAUGAUUAUCUUUCAGAUGGCCACAGGAAGUUUGCCUUGAGCGUUGUGACUCUCCAGGAACCUAAGACCUACAGGGAGGCUGCUCUUCAGGCAUGCUGGAUUAAGGCAAUGGAGGAGGAGUUAUCUGCUUUGGUUUCCAACCAUACGUGGACAGUUGUUCCCAUUCCACCAGGGAAACAUCCAGUUGGCUGCAAAUGGGUGUAUAAAAUCAAACUGCAUGCUGAUGGCAGUAUUGAACGUCACAAAGCACGCCUAGUUGCUAAAGGAUUCACUCAGGUUUAUGGGGUGGAUUUCCUGGACACCUUUUCUCCUGUUGCCAAGAUCAAUUCUGUCAAAUGUCUGCUAGCAGUUGCUGCUGCUAGGAAUUGGCAUCUCCAACAGAUGGAUGUUUCCAAUGCUUUCCUCAAUGGUGAGCUUGAGGAGGAGGUUUAUAUGCAAGCUCCACCUGGUUUUGACGUUCCACCAGGUCACUGUUGCAAGCUCCAACGAUCCUUGUAUGGUCUUAAACAGGCCAGUCGUCAAUGGUUUGCUAAAUUGACUGAAUCACUCAUACACAAUGGGUUUAGACAAUCUGGAGCUGACUACUCCCUCUUCCUGAAGGGUACUGGAAAUAACAUGGUCGUUUUACUGGUCUAUGUCGAUGACAUCAUCUUGGCAGGAAGUAAUCACUCAGAGAUUGAUCUUGUCAAGGCCUACUUAUAAAAGAUGUUCGAGAUACGAGACCUAGGGCCUUUGAAGUAUUUCCUUGGUCUUGAGAUUGCUAGAUCAAACACUGGAAUCUCAAUAUCACAAAGGAAAUACUGUAUUGACCUGCUCACAGAUACUGGCUUUGCUGAGUUCAAAGGAGCAAAGUCACCAAUGGAUCCAUUGUUACAUCUGACAGCAGAACAAGGAGAGCUGUUGGAGGAAUCAAGCAGUUACAGACAGCUAAUUGGUAGGUUGCACUACCUAACAAUCACCAGGCCUGACAUUGCCUUUGCAGUGCAACAACUGAGCCAAUUUCAAGCCUCACCACGCACUGGCCAUAUGCAGGCAGCACACAGAGUUCUUAGAUAUCUAAAGUUGGCUCCAGGUCAGGGACUUUUCUACAAGUCUGGAGUCUCCCUCGAAAUGAAGGGAUUCUGUGACUCAGAUUGGGCCUCCUGCCCUGAGACCAGGCGAUCUACUACGGGAUAUUGUACAUAUCUUGGAGAAAGUCUAAUUUCAUGGAAGUCUAAGAAACAAUGCACAGUGUCACGCUCAUCAUCUGAGGCUGAGUAUAGGGCCCUGGCACAUUUGGUUUGCGAAUUGCAGUGGAUUACUGGUCUACUAGGUGAACUUGGGGUCCAGGUGAACACUCCUAUAUCUGUGUAUUGUGAUAACAAGUCUGCAAUACAUAUUGCAGAGAAUCCAGUCUUCCAUGAGCGAACCAAGCACAUUGAAAUCGACUGUCAUGUGACCAGAGAACGAAUCAAGUCUGGGCUGGUCAAGCUACUACACGUCAACACAGAAGACCAAGUGGCAGACAUUUUCACAAAACCUCUUCACCGUCGUCGUGUGCACUAUCUCCUUGACAAGUUGGGAAUACUUGACAUAUAUUCGCCAACUUGUGGGAGGCUAUCAGAAGAGGAGACGAAGAGCAGUACGUGUACAUCAUCCAGAGAAGGAAAUGCAUUACCGUUGGAAGAAGAUGAUCAGAGUGACCAGUUUGCAACAGAGUGAAAGUUCAAUGAUCAUAAGUGCAAGCUGGACACUUUCCGUUUAGUGAAGCUGUGUCGUUUUACUUAAGACGUUAUGUAAUAAUUGAACCACUUUGCCAUCUUCGUUUAUUACCGUUUUAGUUUGUUACUACAGUAAAAUGUGAAAAUGCUGUAACGAUAAGAGCAGAGGAAAUGAGAAAUGAAGGAUAAGUUUUCAGCAUCCUCUUCUUCUUCCUUCACUCUCUCUCGUUUCUCUCCAUCGACCUCUCUCACCCAUUUCUCACAUUUUGCAAAUUUGCAUCUCUUGCAAUGAUAAAAGAGGCUCAAAUGUCAAAUGGUAUAUACUAUCCCUUUACUAAUUAAAUAUUAAUAUAAUUAAUGAAUAAUAAAUACUAAAAUUUUUAUAUUUAAUUUUGAUAUCAANNNNNNNNNNNNNAUUUUAAUAAAAUAGUUAAUAUUAUUACUAAUAAAAAUGUAGCAUAAAUGUUAUUAAUUAUAAAUAUAAUAUUUAUUUAUAAUAAUUAAAAUUAUUUGUAUUAAUUGGUUGUUGUUUUUAAAAUAAUAAAAAUAUAAGAUUAUAGUGUACUUGGAUCCCACUUUUGUAAUUACUUUUUGAGUUGUAUGGAUGGAAGCGGUAUGAUAAUGAAGUGUGGAGAAUUGCAAAUUAAUAUGAUGAGACAUAGGGAUCACUUUUGAAAGCAGAGAUGACUUACAUGGAUGGGGAUGACCUAAGCGAAGAAACUCGCCUUUCAGAUUAGCAACAUGGAUUUUAAAUAAAUAAAAUAAAAAUAGGGUCAUAGAUCGUCGAAAAAUAAAUAUAUCGGGUAAUUAUCGUGAAAUAUCGCCACACGGGUUAUAUCGUCAAUUUCUCUUUCUCGGCAAUUUACCGCAUUUCAAAUUCCAUUUGAGAACCCGAAACGUCUCGUGUUUCGCCGUGUGUUUCGGCUAGUAUUUUUGUUUUAGAGGAUUUCCAAAUUGACUUAGCCAUCUGCGGUAACGUUUCGAGUUCGAUUCCGAGGACUCGAAACGAGGAAGUCUUAAUAUUUCAGGCUAUCUCCCGACCUCCAUUCCUCCUCUGUUUUCGGUGGAUGCAGCUGCCAUGUCGUCAACCACCAGAAAGCGGCAGCUAUAUCGGAGCAGACGCAGCCGCUACCGGUGACCAUUAUAGAUUUCUAUGUUUAUCGUCUUGUUUUGCACAAUUAAGCUGUGAUGUGAUUUUGUUUCUUGUUUCCCCUGAACUGUGUUUGAUCUGCGAAUGAUACUUUUGAAUUUUGAAAAAUUUGGUGGCAGGGACAACCCCCAUUUUUCCUGUUGAUGAAGCUUUGGCUAGACAGUUGCCGAAGCUGGGUGGGGUUCGGGAUGGACAGGAUGAAGAAGCUUUAGCCUUAAAAUUCACCGAGAUGGAAUUGUUGAGCAAAGCUCGCGGAACUGCAACCAGUAAGACAAUUUGAGUCUUGUGCUUUACUCUCUUCCCCUUUAGUGUUCAAUGUUGGUUGAACUCUUAACUACCCUGUUAUUUUUAUUGUCAUCGCCGGUGGCAGUCGGUUGGUGGAUUGGGAUAUCUGAGUCGUUAAUUUGGAAACGGCCGCAGACGGCUCAGAAGAAGAACUAAAACUAGAAGGUGGCGAAACAGAGGCGUCCUACAUCCGAAAACAAUGACAACGGCAAGGGAAAGGCAACGGUAAUAGAACCAGGAUGGCUGACGGAGGGGAAAAUUGAUGGAAAGCAAAAUCUCAGAGAGGAGAGAGAGAAUUCUGGAAUUGAAGGAAGAAGAAGAAGAAGAGAAAAAAAGAGAAGCUAUGAAGCAAGGUGUGGAAGAGAAAAGAAGUGAGGGUUUCAUAUUAGCUUUCUAUCAUCUUCUUUUCCUACGAGUUCCCUCUCGAAGUUAUACUUUCAUCAUCAUAUAAAUAAAUAUAUAAGUCAUUGAACAAAUCAAUGACCUGGUGAGAGCAAUGAAGUAGGUAAGUUUGUUUAUGUUCGAAGAUCAACACUAGUCUCGAAAAUUAAUUCACUAAGUCAAAGGAACAGGAAGACCAUACCUCUCAAAAGCCAUCAAAACCUCCAAGGCCAAUGAACUUGAAGACCAUACCUCCUAAAUGCUGAACAUGGCUUCCAGAAC
rnacentral:lncRNA from 1 species